rnacentral:rRNA from 1 species
CCAAACCCAAUGUGAACCAUACCAAACUGUUGCCUCGGCGGGGUCACGCCCCGGGUGCGUCGCAGCCCCGGAACCAGGCGCCCGCCGGAGGGACCAACCAAACUCUUUCUGUAGUCCCCUCGCGGACGUUAUUUCUUACAGCUCUGAGCAAAAAUUCAAAAUGAAUCAAAACUUUCAACAACGGAUCUCUUGGUUCUGGCAUCGAUGAAGAACGCAGCGAAAUGCGAUAAGUAAUGUGAAUUGCAGAAUUCAGUGAAUCAUCGAAUCUUUGAACGCACAUUGCGCCCGCCAGUAUUCUGGCGGGCAUGCCUGUCCGAGCGUCAUUUCAACCCUCGAACCCCUCCGGGGGUCCGGCGUUGGGGAUCGGGAACCCCUAAGACGGGAUCCCGGCCCCGAAAUACAGUGGCGGUCUCGCCGCAGCCUCUCAUGCGCAGUAGUUUGCACAACUCGCACCGGGAGCGCGGCGCGUCCACGUCCGUAAAACACCCAACUUCUGAAAUGUUGACCUCGGAUCAGGUAGGAAUACCCGCUGAACUUAAGCAUAUCAAUAAGCGGAGGAA